UUAAAAAUCAACUACAAAAGAGGCUUUUAAGUGUUCUCAAGGAAAGAAUUAUCGAAUUAUAUAACAUCUAACUUAAGUAUGUAUUUUCUUGUAAAUAAUUUUAAUUAGUGUAAAAUAAACUAACAAUAGUCAGUAAGAAUAAGUAUUACCUACAAUGUAAAUUAGGAGCUACAUUUGCCAACAAACUGUUUUACAGUUUGGCAGAAGUAUUGUAUAAAAGCAACUUGUAAGACUUAUUCUGAAAUAAACAUUUUUCUUAUUAUAAAAAA